rnacentral:rRNA from 1 species
CUCCGGGCGGCAGCAGUUAGGGAUAUUCGGCAAUGGGGGAAACCCUGACCGAGCAAUGCCGCGUGAAUGAAGAAGUAUUUCGAUAUGUAAAGUUCUGUUGUUAAGGAAGAAAGGUACGAAUAGGAAAUGAUUCGUAAUUGACGGUACUUAACCAGAAAGCCCCUGCUAACUACGUGCCAGCAGCAGCGGUAAUACGUAGGGGGCGAGCGUUAUCCGGAAUUAUUGGGCGUAAAGGGUGCGUAGGCGGCCUGUCAAGUCCGAGUUGAAAGCCCACGGCUUAACCGUGGAGGGUGCUCGGAAACUGAUAGGCUUGAAUCCAGAAGAGGCAAGUGGAAUUCUAUGUGGAGCGGUGGAAUGCGUAGAUAUAUGGAGGAACACCAGUGGCGAAGGCGGCUUGCUGGGCUGGUACUGACGCUGAUGCACGAAAGCGUGGGGAGCAAACAGGAUUAGAUACCCGGGUAGUC